GAUGAAGAACGUAGCGAAAUGCGAUAAGUAAUGUGAAUUGCAGAAUUCAGUGAAUCAUCGAAUCUUUGAACGCACAUUGCGCCCGCCAGUAUUCUGGCGGGCAUGCCUGUUCGAGCGUCAUUUCAACCAUCAAGCCCUGCUUGCGUUGGGGUCCUGCGGCUGCCCGCAGGCCCUGAAAACCAGUGGCGGGCUCGCUAGUCACACCGAGCGCAGUAAUACAUCUCGCUUUGGGCGUGCGGCGGAUUCUUGCCGUUAAACACCCCCUUUUUACCAAGGUUGACCUCGGAUCAGGUAGGAAUACCCGCUGAACUUAAGCAUAUCAAUAAGCGGAGGA
rnacentral:misc_RNA from 1 species